rnacentral:rRNA from 1 species
ACUCCUACGGGAGGCAGCAGGUAAGAAUCUUCCGCAAGUGGAGGAAAGUCUGAGGGAGGGACGCGGGGUGAACGAUGAAGCGUGCGAGGUUCGUAAAGUUCUUUUCCAGGGGGAGAAUAAGGGUGGCAGGGAAUGGCCGCCCGAUGACGUGAACCUGGGAAUAAGCCCCGGCUAACUACGUGCCAGCAGCCGCGGUAA